rnacentral:tRNA from 1 species
ACCAGUGUGGCGUAGUGGUUUGAGUGUUGGACUAUGACUCUGGAGAUUAGGGUUCAAAUCCCACUUGGC